rnacentral:rRNA from 1 species
UACGUAGGGGGCAAGCGUUGUCCGGAAUUACUGGGCGUAAAGCGUGCGUAGACGGUUAUUUAAGUCGGAUGUGAAAGCCCCGGGCUCAACCUGGGAAUUGCAUUCGAGACUGAAUAGCUAGGGUGCGGUAGAGGGAAGCGGAAUUUCCGGUGUAGCGGUGAAAUGCGUAGAUAUCGGAAGGAACAUCAGUGGCGAAAGCGGCUUCCUGGACCAGCACCGACGUUCAGGCACGAAAGCGUGGGGAGCAAACAGG